rnacentral:misc_RNA from 1 species
CACUGGCAAGCUCUACACCCAGUGUAAGAGAGAGAUCAUCGUUUGGUUUCCACCGUUUGAUCUUCAUCAUCACACGAGGAAGAUGCCGAUCAGAAACAUAGCCGUAGGUCAUCCCCAGGAGGCGACUCACCCAGACGCCUUGAGGGCAGCUCUGGCUGAGUUCAUCUCCACUCUUAUUUUCGUCUUCGCCGGAGAAGGUUCUGGUAUGGCCUUUAGCAAGCUCACAGACAACGCUGCAAACACCCCUGCCGGUCUCGUUGCUGCAUCCAUCGCCCACGCUUUUGCCCUAUUCGUUGCUGUUUCCGUUGGCGCUAACAUCUCCGGUGGCCAUGUCAACCCUGCUGUUACCUUCGGUGCUUUCGUUGGUGGGAACAUCACUCUCCUCCGUGGUAUCCUCUACUGGAUCGCUCAGCUCCUCGGAUCCACCGUCGCUUGCUUGCUUCUCAAGUUCAGCACCGGUGGCCUGGUAAUUAAGCCUAUAAUAAUUCAUGCAUAAUUACAGUAACCGUUGUAUAUACAGUUCUAACUGAUUGUGAGUUUUGAUAUGGUGCUACGCAGACCACCUCAGCUUUCGCUCUUUCUUCUGGUGUUGGUGUAUGGAACGCUUUCGUUUUGGAGAUCGUGAUGACCUUCGGGCUUGUGUACACAGUAUACGCCACAGCCAUUGAUCCAAAGAAGGGCAAUUUGGGAAUUAUUGCACCCAUCGCAAUUGGUUUCAUCGUAGGAGCUAACAUUUUGGCGGGAGGGGCUUUCGAUGGAGCCUCCAUGAACCCAGCAGUGUCGUUUGGACCAGCUUUGGUGAGCUGGAGCUGGGACAAUCACUGGGUGUACUGGGCUGGGCCUCUGAUCGGUGGUGGGCUUGCUGGGCUCAUCUACGAGUUCUUCUUCAUCGGCCACAACACCCACGAGCAGCUCCCCACCACCGACUACUAAACCAGCGCUGCUGAUGGUGGUGGUGCAUGGAUGAUCGGGUGGCUCGGCUUUUCUUUUCUUUCUCUGGUGUAUUCAUUUUUAUCUUUUGAGGGUAAUUAUUUAUCCUUUGUUUAAAUUGUGAUCGUUG